rnacentral:tRNA from 1 species
GCAGUCGUAGCCGAGUGGUUAAGGUCAUGGACUAGAAAUCCAUUGGGGUCUCCCCGCACGGGUUCGAAUCCUGUUGACUGCG